AAUGAGCCUUUUGUUAUAUUUUUAAUGCCAUUAUUACAUUAUCAAGUGCACAUAUAACCGGUAUUAAACACAAUGUUAAGAAUUAUGCUUUUUAGUAUAAUUUUGAUCCAAAACCUUCUACUUCAACAACUAUCUGAAGCUUCAGGAGAUGUUAUACAUAUUAAUGUAACAAAUGUCGCAUCAAAUACAAAAGAUGGCAAGACAGAGAAAAGUGUUCAAAAAUACAUAUUGGAUCUACAUGACAAGAAAAAAGUAAAGCAUGUAACAUAACAUUUAUACACAAUAAAUUAUGUUUUUAUCCAAUGAAAA